rnacentral:rRNA from 1 species
UAGUCCACGCUGUAAACGAUGAGUGCAAGGUGUUGGGGGUCAAACCCCCGGUGCCGCCGUUAACACAGUAAGCACUCCGCCUGGGGAGUACGUACGCAAGUAUGAAACUCAAAGGAAUUGACGGGGACCCGCACAAGUAGCGGAGCAUGUGGUUUAAUUCGAUGCAACGCGAAGAACCUUACCAGGGCUUGACAUAAAACUGACGGGGGAUAGAGAUAUGCCCUUUCUCUUCGGAGACAGUUUUAC